CCCUCCAAAUCACUUUCUUAACUUUUCCUAUAAUUCAAAAGCUGCAUUUCUCACAGCUCACGUCUCAGAGUGGACCAGCAGAGGUGACUGGGCAUAUAAGAAUAACACUGGACAGAAGGCUGGUACAGCAUCAAAGACCAUCUGUGCUGAUGGGUGGAGGUGCACAGGCCUCUGCUGGCCAGGACAGCAGCAUCAGUCCAGCACCAGAUGAGCACAUCUUCACUGCUUGGAUAGAGACUGGACCAACCCUUGAUUUGUGGAAAUGGUCCUCUCCUGCUUCAUCGUGAGGUGUGUUGUUGAAGAAGUAUGUGAGAGCAGAAAAGAGUUAAAAUAGCAUUGUCAUCCCCUGAAUAGAACAUACCUAGGUAAGUGAAGCACAGCUGUGACAUUCACCUGCAACACAACCGAGAGCAUCAGUAAAGCGAAGAGGACAGAGCGUUGCAGCAGCUCUUGCAUUUAGUAAGCAUGGUAAUAACAAUGACGAACAUCACUCUUUUCCUGAGAACAGAGAUAGGGAUGGG
rnacentral:lncRNA from 1 species